AAUCUUCCUACAUGUUAGGAAAGUGCGACGGAUGGCUGGUGUUCGGGAUGCUAAGAGCAAAAUUGUGAAGUUAGAAUGGUUUCUUAAUUGGGUCACUUUCAUUUUCGCAAGAUCUAUGUCUCACAUUCUCAUCACCAUCAAGCUAAUCCGAGAUGCUUCCAAGUUUGAAAGGGGUGUGCAGUUGCCACUUGCUUUGUUUGGGAUGGCUGGAAUGAAUUUGCUCAAUGUUGGUCUUGGCAUUGAUCUUUUUAAUGCAUUCAAAAGAGAGAGAAAUCCUCAUAAAAG
rnacentral:misc_RNA from 1 species